GACGUAGGAUGCAAGCGUUGUCCGGAAUUAUUGGGCGUAAAGCGUACGUAGGCGGUUUCCUAAGUCUGGGGUUAAAGACCGAGGCUCAACCUCGGGAGUGCCCUGGAAACUGGGAGGCUGGAGGACGGCAGAGGAAAGUGGAAUUCCCAGUGUAGCGGUGAAAUGCGUAGAUAUUGGGAGGAACACCAGUGGCGAAAGCGGCUUCCUGGUCCAGCACCGACGUUCAGGCACGAAAGCGUGGGGAGCAAACAGG
rnacentral:rRNA from 1 species